rnacentral:rRNA from 1 species
AACGAACGCUGGCGGCAUGCCUAACACAUGCAAGUCGAACGAGACCUUCGGGUCUAGUGGCGCACGGGUGCGUAACGCGUGGGAACCUGCCUUUAGGUUCGGAAUAACUCAGAGAAAUUUGAGCUAAUACCGGAUAAUGUCUUCGGACCAAAGAUUUAUCGCCUUUAGAUGGGCCCGCGUAAGAUUAGCUAGUUGGUGGGUAAAGGCCUACCAAGGCGACGAUCUUUAGCUGGUCUGAGAGGAUGAUCAGCCACACUGGGACUGAGACACGGCCCAGACUCCUACGGGAGGCAGCAGUGGGGAAUAUUGGACAAUGGGCGAAAGCCUGAUCCAGCAAUGCCGCGUGAGUGAUGAAGGCCUUAGGGUUGUAAAGCUCUUUUACCCGAGAUGAUAAUGACAGUAUCGGGAGAAUAAGCUCCGGCUAACUCCGUGCCAGCAGCCGC